GUGGGGAAUAUUGGACAAUGGGCGCAAGCCUGAUCCAGCCAUGCCGCGUGAGUGAUGAAGGCCUUAGGGUUGUAAAGCUCUUUUGUCCGGGAAGAUAAUGACUGUACCGGAAGAAUAAGCCCCGGCUAACUUCGUGCCAGCAGCCGCGGUAAUACGAAGGGGGCUAGCGUUGUUCGGAAUCACUGGGCGUAAAGCGCACGUAGGCGGACCGUUAAGUCAGGGGUGAAAGCCUGGAGCUCAACUCCAGAACUGCCUUUGAUACUGAUGGUCUCGAGUAUGGAAGAGGUUGGUGGAACUGCGAGUGUAGAGGUGAAAUUCGUAGAUAUUCGCAAGAACACCGGUGGCGAAGGCGGCCAACUGGUCCAUUACUGACGCUGAGGUGCGAAAGCGUGGGGAGCAAACAGGAUUAGAAACCCUUGUAGUCC
rnacentral:rRNA from 1 species